rnacentral:rRNA from 1 species
UACGUAGGGUGCAAGCGUUGUCCGGAAUUAUUGGGCGUAAAGAGCUCGUAGGCGGUUUGUCGCGUCGAAUGUGAAAACCCGGGGCUCAACUCCGGGCCUGCAUUCGAUACGGGCAGACUAGAGUUCGGUAGGGGAGUCUGGAAUUCCUGGUGUAGCGGUGAAAUGCGCAGAUAUCAGGAGGAACACCGGUGGCGAAGGCGGGACUCUGGGCCGAUACUGACGCUGAGGAGCGAAAGCGUGGGGAGCGAACAGGA